rnacentral:rRNA from 1 species
AACGAACGCUGGCGGCAUGCCUAACACAUGCAAGUCGAACGGGAUCCUGGCUUCGGUCAGGUGAGAGUGGCGGACGGGUGAGUAACGCGUGGGAACCUGCCCAGUGGUGGGGGAUAACUGCGGGAAACUGCAGCUAAUACCGCAUGAGCCCGAGAGGGAAAGAUUUAUCGCCAUUGGAGGGGCCCGCGUUCGAUUAGGUAGUUGGUGAGGUAACGGCUCACCAAGCCGACGAUCGAUAGCUGGUCUGAGAGGAUGAUCAGCCACACUGGGACUGAGAUACGGCCCAGACUCCUACGGGAGGCAGCAGUGGGGAAUAUUGCGCAAUGGGCGAAAGCCUGACGCAGCGACGCCGCGUGGGUGAUGAAGGCCUCGGUCGUAAGACCUCGUCGCAGGGAAGGAAGUAAAGAC